AUUGAACGCUGGCGGCAUGCUUUACACAUGCAAGUCGAACGGUAACAGGGUGCUUGCACCGCUGACGAGUGGCGAACGGGUGAGUAAUGCGUCGGAACGUGCCGAGUAGUGGGGGAUAACGCAUCGAAAGGUGUGCUAAUACCGCAUACGUACUGAGGUAGAAAGUGGGGGACCUUCGGGCCUCACGCUAUUUGAGCGGCCGGCGUCUGAUUAGCUAGUUGGUGAGGUAAAGGCUCACCAAGGCGACGAUCAGUAGCGGGUCUGAGAGGAUGAUCCGCCACACUGGGACUGAGACACGGCCCAGACUCCUACGGGAGGCAGCAGUGGGGAAUUUUGGACAAUGGGCGCAAGCCUGAUCCAGCCAUGCCGCGUGUCUGAAGAAGGCCUUCGGGUUGUAAAGGACUUUUGUCCGGGAGCAAAUACCCAGUGCUAAUAACGCUGGGGGCUGAGAGUACCGGAAGAAUAAGCACCGGCUAACUACGUGCCAGCAGCCGCGGUAAAAC
rnacentral:rRNA from 1 species